rnacentral:tRNA from 1 species
UACUUAUUUAGUAUAUUAGUAUAUUUGGCUUCCAACCAAAAGGUUUGAGUAAUCAAAAUAAGUAA